CCUACGGGAGGCAGCAGUGGGGAAUUUUACGCAAUGGGGGAAACCCUGACGUAGCGACACCGCGUGAGCGAAGAAGCCCUUUGGGGUGUAAAGCUCUGUCAGCUGGAAGACGGUACCAGCAGAGGAAGCAUCGGCUAACUACGUGCCAGCAGCCGCGGUAAGACGUAGGAUGCAAGCGUUGUCCGGAUUUAUUGGGCGUAAAGAGUUCGUAGGUGGUUUGUUAAGUUUGGUGUUAAAGAUUGGGGCUCAACCCUGAAACUGCACUGAAUACUGGCAGACUCGAGUGUGGUAGAGGCUAGUGGAAUUCCCAGUGUAGCGGUGAAAUGCGUAGAUAUUGGGAAGAACACCGGUGGCGUAGGCGACUAGCUGGCCUAACUGACACUGAGGAACGAAAGCCAGGGGAGCGAAUGGGAUUAGAUACCCUUGUAGUC
rnacentral:rRNA from 1 species